CGGAUGUAGCCAAAUGGAUCAAGG
rnacentral:tRNA from 1 species